rnacentral:tRNA from 1 species
CGCGGGGUGGAGCAGUUGGCAGCUCGUCGGGCUCAUAACCCGAAGGUCGUAGGUUCAAAUCCUACCCCCGCAA